CCGCGGUAAGACAGAGGAGGCAAGCGUUGUUCGGAAUCACUGGGCUUAAAGCGCGUGUAGGCGGCUUGGAAAGUGUCGUGUGAAAUCCCAUGGCUCAACCAUGGAACUGCACGGCAAACUACCUGGCUUGAGGUCGGUAGAGGUGCCUGGAACUCUAGGUGGAGCGGUGAAAUGCGUAGAUAUCUAGAGGAACGCCAGAAGCGAAAGCGGGGCACUGGGCCGAUUCUGACGCUGAGACGCGAAAGCGUGGGGAGCAAACAG
rnacentral:rRNA from 1 species